rnacentral:sRNA from 1 species
GCUAGGCAUGGUGAUGCACGCCUGUAAUCCUAGUGGCUCAGGAGGCUGAGGCAGGAGGAUCUCGGGUUCAAAGCCAGCCUUAGCAAUGACGAGGUGCUAAGAAACUCAGUGAGAUCCUGUCUCUA